rfam:Eutrema salsugineum unplaced genomic scaffold scaffold_3, whole genome shotgun sequence.
AAUCCAUGGUGAGGGCAAUCACGUUCAUACUCCUUAAAACGUUCCCAGGCUUCAUAGAAAGAUUCAGUCGGUCCUUGUUGAAAGCUUGAGAUUUUUGUUCUCAACCGGUU